rnacentral:lncRNA from 1 species
UUAAACAUAAAACAUCAUCAAAAUAUAACAUAUCCAAAUAUUAAACAACCAUCAUCCACAAUCCAUAAUUAUGCAUAUGAAAAUGUAGGUGCAUAUACCCAAAAUGCACAAAUUCGGUUUUGUAAAAUAAUGAGUGAAAUGAAUGAUUUUAAACCGAUUAUAUUGAUCCAAGAGAUGAUUUAAGAUAAUGGAUGGUGAUGAUUGGAUCAAAAGUGGAUUAAAAAGAGCUUAAAUAUGCAAUUUCGGGUUUAACAAAAAUUGAGUGAAAUGGAUUUGUUUGAGCCAAGAAAAUUGAUCCUAGAGAUGAAUGAAGCUAACAUAUGAGUUAGAUUGGAUCAAAAAUGGGCUAAAGGAAGCUUGAAAAUGUAGAGAGAGAAACGG